UUCGGGAAACCGAAGCUAAUACCGGAUAGGAUCUUCUCCUUCAUGGGAGAUGAUUGAAAGAUGGUUUCGGCUAUCACUUACAGAUGGGCCCGCGGUGCAUUAGCUAGUUGGUGAGGUAACGGCUCACCAAGGCAACGAUGCAUAGCCGACCUGAGAGGGUGAUCGGCCACACUGGGACUGAGACACGGCCCAGACUCCUACGGGAGGCAGCAGUAGGGAAUCUUCCGCAAUGGACGAAAGUCUGACGGAGCAACGCCGCGUGAGUGAUGAAGGCUUUCGGGUCGUAAAACUCUGUUGUUAGGGAAGAACAAGUACGAGAGUAACUGCUCGUACCUUGACGGUACCUAACCAGAAAGCCACGGCUAACUACGUGCCAGCAGCCGCGGUAAUACGUAGGUGGCAAGCGUUAUCCGGAAUUAUUGGGCGUAAAGCGCGCGCAGGCGGUUUCUUAAGUCUGAUGUGAAAGCCCACGGCUCAACCGUGGAGGGUCAUUGGAAACUGGGGAACUUGAGUGCAGAAGAGAAAAGCGGAAUUCCACGUGUAGCGGUGAAAUGCGUAGAGAUGUGGAGGAACACCAGUGGCGAAGGCGGCUUUUUGGUCUGUAACUGACGCUGAG
rnacentral:rRNA from 1 species